CGCUAUCACUCCUACGGGGAGGCAGCAGUAGGGAAUCUUCACGAAUGGGCGCAAGCCUGAUGGAGCAACACCGCGUGAGUGAAGAAGGGUUUCGGCUCGUAAAGCUCUGUUGUUUAAAGAAGAACACGUAUGAGAGUAACUGUUCAUACGUUGACGGUAUUUAACCAGAAAGUCACGGCUAACUACGUGCCAGCAGCCGCGGUAAUACGUAGGUGGCAAGCGUUAUCCGGAUUUAUUGGGCGUAAAGAGAGUGCAGGCGGUUUUCUAAGUCUGAUGUGAAAGCCUUCGGCUUAACCGGAGAAGUGCAUCGGAAACUGGAUAACUUGAGUGCAGAAGAGGGUAGUGGAACUCCAUGUGUAGCGGUGGAAUGCGUAGAUAUAUGGAAGAACACCAGUGGCGAAGGCGGCUACCUGGUCUGCAACUGACGCUGAGACUCGAAAGCAUGGGUAGCGAACAGGAUUAGAUACCCUGGUAG
rnacentral:rRNA from 1 species